ensembl:lncRNA
ACCUCCAUACGUCAUCCACUCGACCUUGCCUUUAUGACCUGUGAUGACCUCCAUGCACAUCAGAGAAAGCUGUCACUUAUUACAGCUGGUGUUGUUGUCAAGUGGUUAAAGCGCAGAUUGAUGAAUUAAACAACCAACAUUCAGGCAGAAUCAAACUACUGAUAGACAACAUCCACCAUUAUUUUAUCAAGG